GAGAGGGAGGGUGGAAUGAAGCAUCUGCAAUGGCGGAUCCUGCCGGCGCUGAUCCUGCUGGCUUCCUUCGCCGCCUAUCUCUACGUGAAGGAGCUGUCGAAGCGUCACAGAGUAGCGAACAGAAAUGGGCCUUUGCUGGACAAACAGGCAAGUUUUAUACGAAGUUGUUGUACCUUUUCCUCGUUCUCCAAUGUACCUCGACCCUGUCAGCUAGGAUACAUACGUUGAUGCGUGUUUGACUGCUGGAUCAGAAUCAUGACAAACAGGCAGGUUCAACGGUCCACCAAAUAUUUCCAAUAUAGCUCGUGUGCAUGCAUGGUUUCUUUACCUUCCUAACAUUGCAUUGUGAAAGUUAUAAAUGUGUUUUGACUAGUUCGAACAGAAUCAAAUUACAGAAGCAUGUUCUGCUCAGCUAAGCUAAUCAUUCAGCGUUGGAAUUUUCUAUGUUCUUCCAAUCCUUGGAGCAAGUCUCUCAUUUCCAAUUCACGGCCUUUCAGAUGUUUUAGGUUUGCAGUCUGGUUGAGCUUCUUUGCUAUGUUGGUUUUAGCUAGUUGAAUAUUGCCACAUUUUCUAGAUAUAACUUUUAUAGUUCUCCUUUAUAUGCCGUUUUUUAUAGCUUGAUGUGGAAAUACUGAGUGUACUGACAAUGCUCUUUUCUCUUAAUAUUGUAGUAAGGAAAUUUGCAAUUUCUUCAAAUUCUUUCCGACAUCAUCCCAUUUUGAGAACUCACAGAAACCCCUCAGAUGGUUCCAAUGGAUUGAUUCCCCAUUGGUGAUAAUCACUUCCAGCAAAUCAUUUUAGGCCUCUUGUGAAAAACGAUUGAAGUUGACCUUCAACGAAGAGAAAAGAGAGGAUUCUAUUGGAUGUUUGUUAAUUUCAUGGAUAAUAAUGUAGCAAGAUGUGAUAGGACUUUGAUUGGUUGUUGUAGGUUGCACGUGAUCAGUGGGAGGUCUAACUAUAUUGUAAACUCAUCUGUUAUCUUCUCUUUCUUAUAGUGUUGUGCAUGCUUUGAGCACAUAUUAAAGUUGUAACUGUUGUUGUCUCUUUUUGUAAUGAGAAUAUUAAAAUUUAAUGAAUUCAAAUGUUCAAUGAUAA